rnacentral:rRNA from 1 species
GGUUAAGCGACUAAGCGUACACGGUGGAUGCCCUGGCAGUCAGAGGCGAUGAAGGACGUGCUAAUCUGCGAUAAGCGUCGGUAAGGUGAUAUGAACCGUUAUAACCGGCGAUUUCCGAAUGGGGAAACCCAGUGUGUUUCGACACACUAUCAUUAACUGAAUCCAUAGGUUAAUGAGGCGAACCGGGGGAACUGAAACAUCUAAGUACCCCGAGGAAAAGAAAUCAACCGAGAUUCCCCCAGUAGCGGCGAGCGAACGGGGAGCAGCCCAGAGCCUGAAUCAGUGUGUGUGUUAGUGGAAGCGUCUGGAAAGGCGUGCGAUACAGGGUGACAGCCCCGUACACAAAAAUGCACAUGCUGUGAGCUCGAUGAGUAGGGCGGGACACGUGGUAUCCUGUCUGAAUAUGGGGGGACCAUCCUCCAAGGCUAAAUACUCCUGACUGACCGAUAGUGAACCAGUACCGUGAGGGAAAGGCGAAAAGAACCCCGGCGAGGGGAGUGAAAAAGAACCUGAAACCGUGUACGUACAAGCAGUGGGAGCACGCUUAGGCGUGUGACUGCGUACCUUUGUAUAAUGGGUCAGCGACUUAUAUUCUGUAGCAAGGUUAACCGAAUAGGGGAGCCGAAGGGAAACCGAGUCUUAACUGGGCGUUAAGUUGCAGGGUAUAGACCCGAAACCCGGUGAUCUAGCCAUGGGCAGGUUGAAGGUUGGGUAACACUAACUGGAGGACCGAACCGACUAAUGUUGAAAAAUUAGCGGAUGACUUGUGGCUGGGGGUGAAAGGCCAAUCAAACCGGGAGAUAGCUGGUUCUCCCCGAAAGCUAUUUAGGUAGCGCCUCGUGAAUUCAUCUCCGGGGGUAGAGCACUGUUUCGGCAAGGGGUCAUCCCGACUUACCAACCCGAUGCAAACUGCGAAUACCGGAGAAUGUUAUCACGGGAGACACACGGCGGGUGCUAACGUCCGUCGUGAAGAGGGAAACAACCCAGACCGCCAGCUAAGGUCCCAAAGUCAUGGUUAAGUGGGAAACGAUGUGGGAAGGCCCAGACAGCCAGGAUGUUGGCUUAGAAGCAGCCAUCAUUUAAAGAAAGCGUAAUAGCUCACUGGUCGAGUCGGCCUGCGCGGAAGAUGUAACGGGGCUAAACCAUGCACCGAAGCUGCGGCAGCGACACUAUGUGUUGUUGGGUAGGGGAGCGUUCUGUAAGCCUGUGAAGGUGUGCUGUGAGGCAUGCUGGAGGUAUCAGAAGUGCGAAUGCUGACAUAAGUAACGAUAAAGCGGGUGAAAAGCCCGCUCGCCGGAAGACCAAGGGUUCCUGUCCAACGUUAAUCGGGGCAGGGUGAGUCGACCCCUAAGGCGAGGCCGAAAGGCGUAGUCGAUGGGAAACAGGUUAAUAUUCCUGUACUUGGUGUUACUGCGAAGGGGGACGGAGAAGGCUAUGUUGGCCGGGCGACGGUUGUCCCGGUUUAAGCGUGUAGGCUGGUUUUCCAGGCAAAUCCGGAAAAAUCAAGGCUGAGGCGUGAUGACGAGGCACUACGGUGCUGAAGCAACAAAUGCCCUGCUUCCAGGAAAAGCCUCUAAGCAUCAGGUAACAUCAAAUCGUACCCCAAACCGACACAGGUGGUCAGGUAGAGAAUACCAAGGCGCUUGAGAGAACUCGGGUGAAGGAACUAGGCAAAAUGGUGCCGUAACUUCGGGAGAAGGCACGCUGAUAUGUAGGUGAAGUCCCUCGCGGAUGGAGCUGAAAUCAGUCGAAGAUACCAGCUGGCUGCAACUGUUUAUUAAAAACACAGCACUGUGCAAACACGAAAGUGGACGUAUACGGUGUGACGCCUGCCCGGUGCCGGAAGGUUAAUUGAUGGGGUUAGCCGCAAGGCGAAGCUCUUGAUCGAAGCCCCGGUAAACGGCGGUACGUAACUAUAACGGUCCUAAGGUAGCGAAAUUCCUUGUCGGGUAAGUUCCGACCUGCACGAAUGGCGUAAUGAUGGCCAGGCUGUCUCCACCCGAGACUCAGUGAAAUUGAACUCGCUGUGAAGAUGCAGUGUACCCGCGGCAAGACGGAAAGACCCCGUGAACCUUUACUAUAGCUUGACACUGAACAUUGAGCCUUGAUGUGUAGGAUAGGUGGGAGGCUUUGAAGUGUGGACGCCAGUCUGCAUGGAGCCGACCUUGAAAUACCACCCUUUAAUGUUUGAUGUUCUAACGUUGACCCGUAAUCCGGGUUGCGGACAGUGUCUGGUGGGUAGUUUGACUGGGGCGGUCUCCUCCUAAAGAGUAACGGAGGAGCACGAAGGUUGGCUAAUCCUGGUCGGACAUCAGGAGGUUAGUGCAAUGGCAUAAGCCAGCUUGACUGCGAGCGUGACGGCGCGAGCAGGUGCGAAAGCAGGUCAUAGUGAUCCGGUGGUUCUGAAUGGAAGGGCCAUCGCUCAACGGAUAAAAGGUACUCCGGGGAUAACAGGCUGAUACCGCCCAAGAGUUCAUAUCGACGGCGGUGUUUGGCACCUCGAUGUCGGCUCAUCACAUCCUGGGGCUGAAGUAGGUCCCAAGGGUAUGGCUGUUCGCCAUUUAAAGUGGUACGCGAGCUGGGUUUAGAACGUCGUGAGACAGUUCGGUCCCUAUCUGCCGUGGGCGCUGGAGAACUGAGGGGGCUGCUCCUAGUACGAGAGGACCGGAGUGGACGCAUCACUGGUGUUCGGGUUGUCAUGCCAAUGGCACUGCCCGGUAGCUAAAUGCGGAAGAGAUAAGUGCUGAAAGCAUCUAAGCACGAAACUUGCCCCGAGAUGAGUUCUCCCUGACUCCUUGAGAGUCCUGAAGGAACGUUGAAGACGACGACGUUGAUAGGCCGGGUGUGUAAGCGCAGCGAUGCGUUGAAGCUAACCGGUACUAAUGAACCGUGAGGCUUAACCUU